rnacentral:rRNA from 1 species
AACGAACGCUGGCGGCAUGCCUAACACAUGCAAGUCGAACGAGACCUUCGGGUCUAGUGGCGCAUGGGUGCGUAACGCGUGGGAACCUGCCCUUAGGUUCGGAAUAACUCUCCGAAAGGGGUGCUAAUACCGGAUAAUGUCUUCGGACCAAUGAUUUAUCGCAUUUGGAUGGGCACGCGUUGGAUAAGCUAGUUGGUAGGGUAAAAGCCUACCAAGGCGACGAUCCAUAAAUGGUCUGAGAGGAUGAUCAGCCACACUGGGACUGAGACACGGCCCAGACUCCUACGGAAGGCAGCAGUGGGGAAUAUUGCACAAUGGGCGAAAGCCUGAUCCAGCAAGGCCGCGUGAGUGAUGAAGGCCUUAGGGUUGUAAAGCUCUUUUACCCGGGAUGAUAUUGACGGUACCGGGAGAAUAAGCUCCGGCUAACUCCGUG